UGAAAUGGCGUAGCUCGGCUGUGUCGGCGGCGGACGGCGGGCCCGUGGAGAGCGGACACUCCUCCGUAAACCCCGCAGAAAUGGACAUUAACCCCGUCCCGUACUGUUCCCUUAACACCAGGCUGAAAAUCUAAUAAAGCAGAUCCGCGAAGUCACCCUGCCACCUGCUAGGACAAAGAUCUCAGCAUGUACGAGUAUAAGAUGCCAGAGAGCGCGUUGACAGAUGCGAAGUGGGUCAGCAGCAUGCCGAAGCCUGUCCAGCGCUUGCUUCCUUCAGAUCUGCUAAACAUUACGCCUGGGUAGCAUUUAAUGCACCGCCCAUUCAUCCGGAACGAUGACAUCAUCGGUGGAAUCGAGGCCGCUUUUAUUUCCUCUUUCUUCAUCCACGCUAAUGUUUUUUUCAGUUAUUUAUUUUUUGUUAAUUCUAGGAGAAUGCUAAAAUGAUAACUUUACCCAAAUUUUAUCCAGUUAUUUGUAUAUACAUAGUCAGGGUCUUAAAUACAUCAUGAUGCUCGGUGACCUCAUAAGGAAAUCAUUUUGUUCUAUACACAUAUUACAUCACACGGUUAUGUAAAAACUUGCACAGGAUCUGGAAAACGCACUAAUCGCAAAAGCUUUAAGUCGUUGUUUAAUACAGAGGCACAUCGUCAGGCCCUGUCAGUCUUAGAUCACUGGCUUUAUUAACGUGAAUAUUUUCACUGGUUCUGAAUGCGUUCACUUCGAUUAUUCCAUUUAUGUUCCUUAAAAAAAAAAACAGGCGUGUACUUGGCUUUUUAAUCCUGCUGCCCGUGUUGUUAACAAGGUUUAUUUGAUUUCUGUCUCAUCGAAACGUCAUCAGAGUCUCAAGGAGUGAGAAGAGUGUGUGUGAAACUAAACAGAUUAAACUAAACGUCGCUCAGAAUUUCAUAUUCACUCGAGAUUCAGGAGCUCCACUUGUUUUGAAAA